CGAGCCGAAGUUCCCUCUAAGACAGUGCUACCAAAUCGCGAUGGAAAGAGCGACGUGCUUCUUCGACGCAUUGCGCCAGUGGACUGCACCGCCAUCUGUCGUCAGCAGAAAGGUGUGGGAGUGGCCAGGGAGGUGGACAGAGAGUGACAAGGGGUGAUCAUGGACACCCCUGCCCACCAUGUAGCUCCGCCCCUGAUAAGGAGG